rnacentral:rRNA from 1 species
GACGAACGCUGGCGGCGUGCCUAAUACAUGCAAGUCGAACGAGAGCGACCGGUGCUUGCACUGGUCAAUCUAGUGGCGAACGGGUGAGUAACACGUGGGUAACCUGCCCAUCAGAGGGGGAUAACAUCCGGAAACGGAUGCUAAAACCGCAUAGGUCUUCGAACCGCAUGGUUUGAAGAGGAAAGGAGGCGCAAGCUUCUGCUGAUGGAUGGACCCGCGGUGCAUUAGCUAGUUGGUGAGGUAACGGCUCACCAAGGCCGUGAUGCAUAGCCGACCUGAGAGGGUGAUCGGCCACAUUGGGACUGAGACACGGCCCAAACUCCUACGGGAGGCAGCAGUAGGGAAUCUUCCGCAAAGGACGCAAGUCUGACGGAGCAACGCCGCGUGAGUGAAGAAGGUUUUCGGAUCGUAAAACUCUGUUGUUAGAGAAGAACAAGUGCUAGAGUAACUGUUAGCGCCUUGACGGUAUCUAACCAGAAAGCCACGGCUAACUACGUG